UAUCAUAUUCACAUUAAUUACAAUAAAAAACGUCAAUAGAAAUUGAAGGAAUUAAGAAAGGGAUUAGGUUACAAACGUGUGACCUUUGGAGUUCUUCUCUUCUCCCUCUCACGAACAGACGGCAGCCGGAACUCACCUUGCGACUCCGAUCGACAUGGCCUUCUCAUCACCGAGGUGAACAACAUAACUCAACCAUCUCUUAACUCGGCUGAACUGCGCGACUCGACCUCCACCUUCGGUGAUACUUAAAGACGUAUACCUCUUCCAACCGCCGUCGUCGACCGUUCUCAACCUCUACGCUGAUAGUUCUUCAAAUUGGCUAACAAAACUAAGAAACCAGAUUAAUCCAAGUAUCCAUCCCCUUCUGCCUUUCGAUUGUUCUGCAAUUCUUCUUCUCCUGCUCAUACGCUCCGAUUUGAUUUUGUUGCCUCCGCGAUGUUGUUGUUGUAGAAGAGGAUCGUUGUGGUGUUGCGAAGACGUUGACGUUGCUUCGUGUUGCUGUUGCGUUGCGCUUGGAGUUACAUUUGUGAAGGCUGUUGAAGACUGUGAAGAACUUGUGCUGAUGCGACUGUCCACUGAAGAACAGAGCAAAGAUGAAGAUGAAGAUUGAUGGAGAGUUGAUGAAGAGAGUAGAAUUGUGUUGAUGAUUUGUUUGGUGAAUGGUGCAGUAAUUGACGGAUUAGACUGAGGGAGAAUUGAAGAUUUUCUACUAUGGUUCUAUCGAUUGAUGAAGAUGAGGUGAUGAUGAAGAUGAGGUGAGAGAGUUUGGUUGAGAGAGGAUGAACAUGAUGAAUUCUGAGAUUGUUGAUGGUGAAUGGACCAGAAAUUUGUUACCUUCUGUUACGAGUCUUUCUCUGAUUCUGUUAUGUUUUUUAUGCAGGGUGCUGGCCCCCUUUGGUUGAUGUUUCGGCGGGUCCGGUUUGUAUUAUCAGCAAGGUUGAUAGCGUGAGGUGUUAUGCAGAAUUUUGUUGAUAGAGCAUGAAAGUCUAUUCUUUUUUUCUAAUUUUUGUCAUGGAUUUGUAAUAUGGAUUGAACUUUUGUAAUGAAUGGACACUCCUGAAUAUAUUUUUUUAUAUUGGACAAUGUAAUGGUUGAUGAUAAAUCUUGAACACCGAAUGGACUUGAACUUUUUGUAAUA